ensembl:lncRNA
AUUAAUUUUUUAAAACCACAAACUGUUAUGUCAGACUUUAUGGUAUGAGCUAGAGGUUCAAUGGCCAGAAUGAAAAGCUCUGUCAAAAGUGAACAUCCCUGUUCCGUGCCUCUGUGGUUUAAAUCUAGAUGACAGGGAUCAUUCUAGGGCAGGGGGUUCCGUAUAGAAAUUUGAUGUUACAUUUCUGUAGAACCACAAAAAGGAAAGGCCAUUCUGCUUGAUCGAAUGAAAUAAAAUCUGUAACAAGGUCUACGUUAGGGCCAUUGGAAAGUAUGGUAUAUCGAAAAGAUGUGUAAGAUUGAAAAAUGAGAUAUGGUUGCAUAUGAAGCCUGUUGGCCAGAUACUUCCCUGUGUCUGUGUUGAGUUGAAAAAGUGGUCUCUCCCCAUUUUAUGGGUAACUAGCUUCACAACAACAAAAACUAGCUUUUUUGUCUCCCAAGUUGUUUUCAAAAGGCUUCCUCUCAGAACCAGAAAGAGAUUUAUUGCCAAAUAAGUUGCACAACAAACAAGGAAUUUGUGCUGGCCGUUGGUGCAACAAUUUAUACAAAAGGGACAGAGAAGUAAAAACAAAUGAGAACAGUGGACUGAGCAUAAAAAUAGUAGACUGUUCAUUAAUAAAUUACAAAAAAUAACUAAAAAGUAUAUGUAAAGUGCAAGACUUUGUCCAAUUGAAGGUUGUGUGUGUAUGUGGGGAGGGGUUAUAGAUUUGUCUAGUUGAGGGUUGUGUGUGUAUGUGGGGAGGGGUUAUAGAUUUGUUUAGUUGAGGGGUGUGUGUGUAUGUUGGGAGGGGUUAUAGAUUUGUCUAGUUGAGGGUUGUGUGUGUAUGUUGGGAGGGGUUAUAGAUUUGUCUAGUUAAGGGUUGUGUGUGUAUGUGGGGAGGGGUUAUAGAUUUGUCUAGUUAAGGGUUGUGUGUGUAUGUGGGGAGGGGGCUAUAGUCAGUUUGGUUCUGGAGGCAUGUUCAUGAGGCCUACUGCUGUAGGAAAGGAAAACUGUUCUUGUGGCGAGAGGUUUUGGUCCUGAUGGACCUCACCCUUCUGCCAGAGGGGAGAAUUGUGAAUAGUCCAUUUCCAGGGUGAGAGGGAUCAGCCCCAAUCAUUGCCGCUCACCUCCGUGUCCUGGAGGGGUGUAGGUCAUGUAGAGACGGCAGAUUGCAGCCAAUCACCCUCUAUGCAGAGCGGAUGAUGCAUUGUAGCCUGCCCAUGUCUUUGGCAGUGGCUGCAGCGUACCAGACAGUGAUGGAGGAGGUCAGGAAGGACUCUACGAUGGCAGUGUAGAAAUGCACCAUCAUAGUCGUUGGCAGGUUGAACUUU